UUUUUCUUUUUUUUUUUUUGACAGACAGAGUGGACAGUGAGAGAGAGAGACAGAGAGAAAGGUCUUCCUUUGCCGUUGGUUCACCCUCCAAUGGCCGCCGCGGCCGGCGCGCUGCGGCUGGCGCACCGCGCUGAUCCGAUGGCAGGAGCCAGGAGCCAGGUGCUUUUCCUGGUCUCCCAUGGGGUGCAGGGUCCAAGCACCUGGGCCAUCCUCCACUGCACUCCCUGGCCACAGCAGAGGGCUGGCCUGGAAGAGGGGCAACUGGGACAGAAUCCAGCGCCCCGACCGGGACUAGAACCCGGUGUGCCGGCGCCGCUAGGCGGAGGAUUAGCCUAGUGAGCCGCGGCGCCGGCCCGAUUUCCUGCUAUUUCAAUGGCUCUCUGGCUUCCUUCAACUGAACUUCUGGUAUUACAAUAGUCUGUGUACCCCCAAAUCAAUUUCAAUCCUUUUACUUUUAGUCUAAGGCCAAAAUUAGCCAAGAAAUUAUUCCAAUUAAACCACUUCUUUUCAACAAGAAAGUCAGUCUUCCUAAAAAAAGUUGUUUUCCCUAGAAUUUUCAACAUAUUUCUACACUUGAAAUUUAGAUUCUGCAUGCUUUUCCUAUUAUUCUUUAGUUCUUCCUGCACUAUUCUCUGCUUUCUUUCUUCUUACACGCGUCUCUGUGAUGUAUUAUAACAAUUGUUGGCAUGGCAACCGACACCGUGACAUCUCCAGCCAGCUAUUUGUCUUCUACUUAGUAAACUUCAGUAGGUAGCUGGCUCCAGACAGUAAAACCAGGAGUGGACUUGUGCCAAGUAGCCUGAAGGUGCUAGGAAAAUAUUGAGCUCAUUUAUUGCCAGAUGAGGCAGUUCAGUGUCAAAGAAGCAAGUUUGCUUGUUUAAGGUCAAAGUGGAAUGCAUCUGUGUAGGGACUGUCGCCCAUAUUUUCUGUUUCCAAGAUUGACGCUUCCACCACAGAAGGCCUCAGCUUUGAUUUUAUUCUGGUGACAGUGUGCUCAUCUAAGAAAUUAACCAUCACAGCUAUCCUUGUUUAUAAUGGUCAUUAUUUCACGAUGCUGGGUCAUGGACCAUUUCUGAAGUCACCGCUUGUGGUGCGGUCUGGGAGCCAGCUGGAGACACGAGGAGUUAACCUGUCCAUGAUCAAGCAUGACAAAUGCCUCUCCUCCUGUUGUUCAGAUGGAUGAUCCUCAGCACUUACAGGCUAGUUUGUCCGCAUUCCUGCUUCCUAAUAAAUUAGCUGCACCAAAGUCCUGGCAUCAAGGACCCCCAAAAAGACAUGGAGAACAAAUACUUUUAAAUCACUUUACAAAGGCAUUUAUCACUGACGGUUGAAUUUGUUUCCUUUCACUGUAGUGAGAUCAGCAUUGCAAAUUAUUCAUUUAUGACCCCAAUAAGAAGUUUAUAUACAUUUGACCAAUAUAAAAACUGAGGUCAGAAUGGGUGAAAGACAGCUUUUCCAUCUGAGACCACGAUUGAGUCAUUGUGAAAGAGGAUGUGUGAAACGAGACCACUGGAAUCUUCAGCCACAAGUGAGUUCUGAGGCAGAACAGGUUUGGGAAAAUGUACAUGUGUUGACUGAGGAGCUGGAGAUUAAAACUAUCCAUGCUCCUGCACCUGCAUGGGAGACCAGGAGGAAGCACCUGGCUCCUGGCUUUGGAUCAGCAUAGCUCCAGCCUUAGCGGCCAUUUAGGGGGUGAACCAACGGAAGGAAGACCUUUCUCUCUGUCUCUAUAUCUCACUGUCUAACUCUGUCAAAUAAAAAAAAAACUAUCCACGCUGUGUAUCUUUUAGAGGGCCUUCGGUGUCACUAAGGGUAUAUAAAACCCAGCUUGAGGGUUAAUUAUCUAAAAUACUCUGCACACAUAUACGUGUGAGUACAUACAUAUGCACACACACACCAAAGCAAAACAAAACCAAACACAAAUGCAGUAAGUAUAAAUGUAGGAACAAUAUUCUCUACGACCCAAGGGAAACUGAAGUGAAAGUUGUGAAAGGGAUUUGCUGAAGGUACUGAGAUGACUUCCAGCGUGGGGCUCUGAGUUUUUAAAACUCUGAAAAAGAACAUGAUAACACGAAUUCAUCAUCAUUCCUAAGCAAUUAACAUCUAUUGAGUGCUUUCUGCAUGCUGGGGUUUAUUUUAGGAACUUGCAUAUCCAUCAUCUCAUGAAAACCUCAUACUAACUGUUCUGUGGAGUAGGAAUAGUCAUUCCAACUUUUUAAAAAAGAUUUAUUUAUUUACUUGAAAGAGUUACACAGAGAGAGACGAAGAGGCAGAGAGAAAUAGGUCUUCCAUGCCCUGGUUCACUCCUCAAUUGGCUGCAACAGCUGGAGCUUUGUAUAUCCAAAGCCAGGAGCCAGGAGCCUCCUCUGGGCCUUCCCAUGUGGGUGCAGGGGCCCAAGGACUUGAGCCAUCUUCCACUGCUUUCCCAGGCCAUAGCAGAGAGCUGGAUAGGAAGUGGAGCAGCUGGGACUCAAACCAGUGCCCAUAUGGGAUGCCAGCACCACAGGUGGUGGCUCUACCAACUAUGCCA